rnacentral:rRNA from 1 species
UACGGAGGGUGCAAGCGUUGUCCGGAAUUACUGGGCGUAAAGCAGGUGCAGGCGGUUCGUUGUGUCGGGUGUGAAAUCCCGAGGCUCAACCUCGGAACUGCGCCCGAAACUGGCGGACUUGAGUGCGGGAGGGGAUGGUGGAAUUCCGGGUGUAGAGGUGAAAUUCGUAGAUAUCCGGAAGAAUACCGGUGGCGAAGGCGACCAUCUGGCCCGUUACUGACGCUCAGACCUGAAAGCGUGGGGAG